GCGACGUCGCGCUCUGAGGGGAGCUCGGCGGCGGCGGAGGCCCAGCAUGGGCGGCCCGCGCUCCUCUCCCGCGUCUCUCCGCUGAGCAGCUGCGCCCGGCCAUGGCUGGCCCCUCCCGGGACCUGCUGGCCGACGUCUUCGACGAGGCCGUGCGGAACACCUGCGAUGUCGCCUCCCAUUGCAAGCGGUAUGCUAUAAGUGUUGGCUACUGGAAAGAUCCUUACAUUGAAUAUUUUGUAAGCCAUCCAAAAGAAAGGAAGGCACCUGAAAUCAGCCGUGGGUAUUAUGCACGGGUCCAUGGAGUUGGUCGUUUACUUAAGGCUUUCUUAGAAAAGACAAAAUGCAAUUGCCAAAUUGUAAAUCUUGGUGCUGGCAUGGAUACUCUGUUUUGGAAAUUAAAGGAUGAGAAUCUUCUUCCUAUGAAAUACUUUGAAGUUGAUUUUCCAUCUGUAGUCUCAAGGAAAAUCCACUACAUCAAAUCAAAACCUCCUCUAUCAAAACCGAUCAUGGAAAGCCAUUCAGGGGAGACUCUUCUCAUAGAUCCACACAGUCUAGAUUCCAGCCGAUACGCCAUUAUUGGAGGAGAUCUUCGAGACCUGCCCAAACUAGAGGAAAAGCUGAAGAAAUGCCACAUCAAUCCAGAUUUGCCAACCCUCCUGCUGGCGGAAUGUGUGCUGAUCUACAUGACCACAGAGCAUUCGACCUGCCUCAUCAAGUGGGUGGGAGGCAUGUUUCGAUCUGCCAUGUUUAUCAACUAUGAGCAGGUGAAUAUGGCUGAUCGCUUUGGACAGAUCAUGAUUGAGAACUUGCAGAGCAAGCAGUGCGAGUUGGUUGGUGCAGACGCUUGCAGAUCUCUGGAUACCCAGAAGGAACGAUUCCUGCUACUCGGCUGGGAAACAGUAAACGCUCUCGAUAUGCUGAAGGUCUACCAGAGUUUGCCAUCGGAGGAUAUCAGAAGGAAUGUGCAGAACUCACUGAUAACUUCAGGAAACUGCCCCCGGAACGACAUGGUCUGGAGGGGGAACGGAACAUUCCAGAAUUCAACGGAACGUUCUGUUCCUGAAUUGAAUAGAGGCACUUGAGUUCCUGGAUGAGAAGGAGCCCUUUGAGCAGCUUAUGCAACAUUACUGCCUGUGCUGGGCCGUCAAGGAUUCCCAGAACUUAGGCCUUGCAGACAUUAUUCUGUGAUGCGUUUGCUCCAGUGGAGCUCCAGGUGAAUCUGCUGCCCCCUCCUGGUGGGCCUCUGCAUGCAUCCGCUGCCCGAUCCCUCCCUUGAAGGCGCCUGCAGGUGAAUGUGAGCACUGGAGCCUUGGCUAGUGCCCUCCUCUUCUUUCCCCCAUUCGUGGCACGUGGCAACCUUUUGAAUAAAUUACUCUUUUUGUGAGCAGCUGAAAAACAAGCAAGUCUCUCUCCCUUUUCUUGGGAUUUUUUUAAAAAAACCCAUUAUGAAUAGAAAAGGAUUCUGGUUCCUCCUAGACGUACAAGUGAUGUUCUUGCCUCCUUGUUCCACUGGGUCCUUCAGAACCGGGCAGAGGAUUUAAACUGGGGCAGGGAAGAGGGAUCCUGUUUGCUGUCAGCAAUCCUUAGAGGUCCUUCUUCCCCCUGGAAUCUUGCAUUUCUUUUAUUUUGUGAAAUGCUGUUCCUGGUGCAUUUCCACCCUCUUCUGCUGUGAGUUUAUUGGUAUCUUCUGUGGGAAUUUGCUUUUUUUUCUCUUUUUUGUCAAAAGAGAGCUGGCUUCAGUUCAGGAAGAUCUCUUGUUGAGGCGGAAAAUUCUGUUGGCCCUGAGCUGCAGCUUUUUGUGGCUGUAUUGAAACGUGCUCCUGACUCUGCAAGGGUUAAUAAAUGGUGAAUUUUUGUAAA